rnacentral:rRNA from 1 species
GGAUAACAUUUGGAACCGCAUGGUUCUAAAGUGAAAGAUGGUUUUGCUAUCACUUAUAGAUGGACCCGCGCCGUAUUAGCUAGUUGGUAAGGUAACGGCUUACCAAGGCGACGAUACGUAGCCGACCUGAGAGGGUGAUCGGCCACACUGGAACUGAGACACGGUCCAGACUCCUACGGGAGGCAGCAGUAGGGAAUCUUCCGCAAUGGGCGAAAGCCUGACGGAGCAACGCCGCGUGAGUGAUGAAGGGUUUCGGCUCGUAAAACUCUGUUAUUAGGGAAGAACAAACGUGUAAGUAACUGUGCACGUCUUGACGGUACCUAAUCAGAAAGCCACGGCUAACUACGUGCCAGCAGCCGCGGUAAUACGUAGGUGGCAAGCGUUAUCCGGAAUUAUUGGGCGUAAAGCGCGCGUAGGCGGUUUCUUAAGUCUGAUGUGAAAGCCCACGGCUCAACCGUGGAGGGUCAUUGGAAACUGGGAAACUUGAGUGCAGAAGAGGAAAGUGGAAUUCCAUGUGUAGCGGUGAAAUGCGCAGAGAUAUGGAGGAACACCAGUGGCGAAGGCGACUUUCUGGUCUGUAACUGACGCUGAUGUGCGAAAGCGUGGGGAUCAAACAGGAUUAGAUACCCUGGUAGUCCAC